UGUGUGUGGAUGUGUCAGUGUGUUUACUGUGAGUCACAAUUACAGAUAAAUGUCAAGGGUUAAAAUGAAGUCAACAUCUCUGGAGGUGCCCAACGCUAACAGCUCUUCUCGGCAAUGAUUUUAAAGAAGCCGCAGAAGGUUAAUUUGAAUUUUCCAUAUUUUCCAUGACAAAAUCGCCAAACAAAUGUCACUGAAUUCGGGUCACUUUUAUUUUAAACAUGUGAAAGCUGAA